AGGGUUUGAUUAUGGCUCAGGAUGAACGCUGGCGGCGUGCUUAACACAUGCAAGUCGAACGAAGCACUUUAUUACGAUUUCUUCGGAAUGACGAUUUGGUGACUGAGUGGCGGACGGGUGAGUAACGCGUGGGUAACCUGCCUCAUACAGGGGGAUAACAGUUGGAAACGGCUGCUAAUACCGCAUAAGCGCACAGCAUCGCAUGAUGCAGUGUGAAAAACUCCGGUGGUAUGAGAUGGACCCGCGUUGGAUUAGCUAGUUGGUGAGGUAACGGCCCACCAAGGCGACGAUCCAUAGCCGACCUGAGAGGGUGACCGGCCACAUUGGGACUGAGACACGGCCCAA
rnacentral:rRNA from 1 species